rnacentral:lncRNA from 1 species
UAUAGGGAACCCUACCGUGAACGUUGCCUCAUAUCGGACAGGAUAUCAAGGAAUGGUAUUUUUUGCGCUCAUACCGGACGAGAUAUGAGGAUGACUCGAUUGACCUUCAUACCGGACGAGAUAUUGAGGGAUGGUAUUUUUGGCACUUAUACCGGACAUGGUAUCAGGACGGCUGGUUUGUUCACAAUGUAGGAUAUGAGUUCGCGCGUAGUGGGACAUCCCUAUGUGCCCCCAAGGAUACCAGUAGGCAAAUAAAAAAGGAAAUGUAUUGUUCUUGCUCACUUGAAUAUGAGGUUGGAAUGUUAUUUG